AUUAUUUAAAGGAUGAAAUACAAGUGUGAGGUUGAGUUUUCAGGCCAUUGUGUGAGAUAUGCCUCUCAGACCUUGUUAUGAUAUUGGCCAGUUACCCAUCUGGUG